rnacentral:lncRNA from 1 species
AGGAUAUUUAUACUAAAAAUCCAUGCAGUAAAAUAUAACUUUGAAUAUUCUUAUUAUAGUUUAGACACCAACAAAGUGUUUUUGCAAUAAAUUUUCAGAAUGUCAAGCAGCAGUUUUCAUGCUACUGUUGGUGCAGGAAGAGUAUUUAUUUCAAACAACAGUUUACUAGGACCCUUCUGUACUAUCGGAUGUCUCCCUCUCAUUUGUUGAUUAGAGAAGACUCGAGAAUACAACUAUAAUUAUUAGAGUCCCUUUUAGGAGGGCGGAGGUUUUCAUUCUCUUAUAUAUGCUGUUCUGAUAAUAGAAAUUUCGAAUUGAUAAUCGAAAUUGUUAAAACUGAUAUAGAGCAUAUAAAGCAUAUAGAAACUAAAUUUUAUAAAUUCUAAAAAUUAUUUACAUAGUGAUCAAAAGAUCACAAAAUUGACAGUUUUUGACUGCAUAUACGAGUCGUUUGCUUAUUGAACGAUGUAGAGCAAUUCAAACUGUUUGAAUUUUUGAUAAAAAUUUUUUAUACUAUUUAGAUAACGUUUGAUAACUGCGAUCAUGAAUUGAAAAAGUUUAACAUCUAUUUUCACAAAUUUAUUUGUUUUUAACUGUUUAUUUUUUAACUCUUCAAUGGACUCGAAAACGAUUUUUGAAAUUUACAAAAAUUUAGUUUCUAAACGCUUUAAGUACUCUAGAUUAACUUUAAUGGUUCGAUUAUCGAUUCGAAAUUCCUAUUACCAAAAACGAUUUAGGAGAACGAAGGUCUUCGUUUUCUUGAAAGGAUAGUAGCUGGAUUCAUAAUCAUUAUUAGUUGCUUAAUUUUUGCUUGGACAAAAAGGAAUAAAAAAAAUCUUUAGGACCCUUUCCAAGGCACUUUCCCUUUGUGACUAGGGGUGGAAACGAGCGAGUCUACCUCCGCUCAACCUUGGCUUCAGAUUAAUUUCGAGCCUAGAUUUAGGCUCAAGCUCUACUUGAAAUUAAUUUGAGCCGAGCUCGAGCGAGCCUAACUUCGAGUUGAGCGAGCUCGAGCUCUAAAUGAGCCACUUGAAAUUUUUAACAUUGUGCAAUCUAUAGUUAAAUUCUUAUAAAAUAUUAUCUAAAAUUCGAUAUAAAAAAUGUCUAAAAGUUCAACAUGCAUAAUAAAUACAUGAAAUACGAUAUUAUAAUAUUAAAAAAAAUUAAGUGAAGAGGCUCUGCGAGCAAGUGAAAAAGAGAGCGAGCAAUUAGAGUAGGAUUUCGUUGGUUUGGUUUUGUGGGCCCAAUAACCUAAACUCUAUAUACAUAUAAUAAAAAUACAUCAAUAUUAUUAUAUAUAAUUAUAUAUAGAGAGAGUCUGGUUAAUAUACUCUUAUGAGUAUAGAUCUUUUUGUACUCAUAAGUUUUCGACCAUUAAAUCUACCUGUUUGACUAUUUUCAUCCGUUAAAUUAUACUAUUCAAUCAAUCACCCACUCAACCCUAGGGGAACACUAUCAUCCUAACUGCCCAUCUCUUCAUCCAACAACUAAAAAUUUAUAAGUAUAAAGAGAUCUAUACUCAUAAGAGUAUAAUAGCCUUAGCCUAUAUAUAUAUAUAUAUAUAUAUAGCAGGGCUGCUGUGCUCUCUGGAGCACAGAGCCCUCCGUACUCCUGAGCCGUUUUCGAUGAUGGGACUUCCUAAUCGACGAUCGGCUUUGCUAUACUUGAUCUAGCAUAUUUGAAGUAUCUAGAAAAUAAAUUUUGCGAAUUUUUGAUAUCGUUUACUUAGUGAUCGAAAGGGUUCAAAAUCAACGGCUGAAAAUAAAAAUCUCAUAAAAAUGGUGAUAUAGUACUAAAAUUUUCGAUCAGAGAUAUUGAACUUGUUGUAGAUAGUAUAAAGAAUUUUCUAUCAGAAUUUUAUUUGAUUUGGAUACUUCUACGUCGUUAAACUUGAAACGGCAGAUAUCGACCAUUAAAAAUUGUUGAUUUUGAAUCUUUUCGAUCACUAAGUAAAUGAUAUCAAAAAAUCGCAAAAUUUAUUUUCUACAUACUUCAAAUAUGCUAAAUCAAGUCUAGCGGAGCCGAUCGUCGAUUCGGGAGUCUCAUCAUCGAAAACGGCUCAGGAGCACGGAGGGCUAUGUGCUCCUAAGAGCACACAAGACCUACUCUCUCUCUCUCUCUCUCUCUCUCUCUCUCUCUCUCUCUCUCUCUAUAUAUAUAUAUAUAUAUAUAUAUAUAUAUAUAUAUAUAUAUAGAGUCCGGCUACUAAACUAUCGAUAGUACCAAGAGCUUAGUACUAUCGAGUUUUCUACCGUUAGAUUUGCCCUUUAAUCAUUCCUACCCGCUAGAUCAUACUAUUCAACUAACUACCCACUCAAUCCUAGAGGACCACUAUCAUCCUAGCCAGAGACCACUAUCAUCCUAACAGCACAUCCUUUUAUUCAACGGCCAAAAACUUGAUAGCAUAAAGUACUUGAUACUAUUGAUAGUAUAGUAGCAUAUAUAUAUAUAUAUAUAUAUAUAUAUAUAUAUAUGAAAUAGGCUGGUAUACUAUACUAUCGGUAGCACGGAGGCCUCCGUGCUACCAAGUUGUUUUCAAUGAUGCGGCUUCCAAAUCGACGAUUGGCUCCGUUAGACUUGAUCUACACUAUUGAAAGUAUUUGAAAACUAAAUUUUAUAAUUUUUCGGUAUCAUGUACCUAUCAAACGAGUAGUCUAAAAAUGAACGACUGAAAAUAAAAAUCUCGUAAAAAAUGAUGAUAAAAGACUUGAAUUUAAGAUCAGAGGUACUGAUCUUACACUAAAUAGUGAAAGGAAUUUUUUAUAAAAAUUACAUCAUAUUUGAAUUCUUUUAUACCGUUAAAUUCACUAACGCAUCACAUCUACCAAUAAAAUUGU